rnacentral:rRNA from 1 species
GACGAACCGUGCGAACGUUAUUCGGAAUCACUGGGCUUAAAGCGCGUGUAGGCGGGAGGGCAAGGCCGUCGCUGAAAUCCCCCGGCUCAACCGGGGAACGGGCGCGGAUACGACCUUCCUGGAGGGGCGUAGGGGGACCUGGAACUUCCGGUGGAGCGGUGAAAUGCGUUGAGAUCGGAAGGAACGCCCGUGGCGAAAGCGAGGUCCUGGACGCCUACUGACGCUGAGACGCGAAAGCCAGGGGAGCGAACGGG